rnacentral:tRNA from 1 species
UGGCUUAGUGGUAGAGUGCUUGUUUUGCGUGCAAGAGGCCCUGGGUUCAAUUCCCUG